AUUGAACGCUGGCGGCAUGCCUUACACAUGCAAGUCGAACGGCAGCGGGGGAGAAGCUUGCUUUUCCUGCCGGCGAGUGGCGAACGGGUGAGUAAUACAUCGGAACGUGCCCUGUAGUGGGGGAUAACUAGCCGAAAGAUUAGCUAAUACCGCAUACGACCUGAGGGUGAAAGUGGGGGACCGCAAGGCCUCAUGCUAUAGGAGCGGCCGAUGUCUGAUUAGCUAGUUGGGGGGGUAAUGGCCUACCAAGGCGACGAUCAGUAGCUGGUCUGAGAGGACGAUCAGCCACACUGGGACUGAGACACGGCCCAGACUCCUACGGGAGGCAGCAGUGGGGAAUUUUGGACAAUGGGCGAAAGCCUGAUCCAGCAAUGCCGCGUGUGUGAAGAAGGCCUUCGGGUUGUAAAGCACUUUUGUCCGGAAAGAAAUGGCUCUGGUUAAUACCUGGGGUCGAUGACGGUACCGGAAGAAUAAGGACCGGCUAACUACGUGCCAGCCGCCGCCGUAA
rnacentral:rRNA from 1 species